rnacentral:rRNA from 1 species
AUAGGUUAAUGAGGCGAACCGGGGGAACUGAAACAUCUAAGUACCCCGAGGAAAAGAAAUCAACCGAGAUUCCCCCAGUAGCGGCGAGCGAACGGGGAGGAGCCCAGAGCCUGAAUCAGUGUGUGUGUUAGUGGAAGCGUCUGGAAAGGCGCGCGAUACAGGGUGACAGCCCCGUACACAAAAAUGCACAUGCUGUGAGCUCGAUGAGUAGGGCGGGACACGUGGUAUCCUGUCUGAAUAUGGGGGGACCAUCCUCCAAGGCUAAAUACUCCUGACUGACCGAUAGUGAACCAGUACCGUGAGGGAAAGGCGAAAAGAACCCCGGCGAGGGGAGUGAAAAAGAACCUGAAACCGUGUACGUACAAGCAGUGGGAGCACAGAGCAAUCUGUGUGACUGCGUACCUUUUGUAUAAUGGGUCAGCGACUUAUAUUCUGUAGCAAGGUUAACCGAAUAGGGGAGCCGAAGGGAAACCGAGUCUUAACUGGGCGUUAAGUUGCAGGGUAUAGACCCGAAACCCGGUGAUCUAGCCAUGGGCAGGUUGAAGGUUGGGUAACACUAACUGGAGGACCGAACCGACUAAUGUUGAAAAAUUAGCGGAUGACUUGUGGCUGGGGGUGAAAGGCCAAUCAAACCGGGAGAUAGCUGGUUCUCCCCGAAAGCUAUUUAGGUAGCGCCUCGUGAAUUCAUCUCCGGGGGUAGAGCACUGUUUCGGCAAGGGGGUCAUCCCGACUUACCAACCCGAUGCAAACUGCGAAUACCGGAGAAUGUUAUCACGGGAGACACACGGCGGGUGCUAACGUCCGUCGUGAAGAGGGAAACAACCCAGACCGCCAGCUAAGGUCCCAAAGUCAUGGUUAAGUGGGAAACGAUGUGGGAAGGCCCAGACAGCCAGGAUGUUGGCUUAGAAGCAGCCAUCAUUUAAAGAAAGCGUAAUAGCUCACUGGUCGAGUCGGCCUGCGCGGAAGAUGUAACGGGGCUAAACCAUGCACCGAAGCUGCGGCAGCGACACUAUGUGUUGUUGGGUAGGGGAGCGUUCUGUAAGCCUGUGAAGGUGUGCUGUGAGGCAUGCUGGAGGUAUCAGAAGUGCGAAUGCUGACAUAAGUAACGAUAAAGCGGGUGAAAAGCCCGCUCGCCGGAAGACCAAGGGUUCCUGUCCAACGUUAAUCGGGGCAGGGUGAGUCGACCCCUAAGGCGAGGCCGAAAGGCGUAGUCGAUGGGAAACAGGUUAAUAUUCCUGUACUUGGUGUUACUGCGAAGGGGGGACGGAGAAGGCUAUGUUGGCCGGGCGACGGUUGUCCCGGUUUAAGCGUGUAGGCUGGUUUUCCAGGCAAAUCCGGAAAAUCAAGGCUGAGGCGUGAUGACGAGGCACUACGGUGCUGAAGCAACAAAUGCCCUGCUUCCAGGAAAAGCCUCUAAGCAUCAGGUAACAUCAAAUCGUACCCCAAACCGACACAGGUGGUCAGGUAGAGAAUACCAAGGCGCUUGAGAGAACUCGGGUGAAGGAACUAGGCAAAAUGGUGCCGUAACUUCGGGAGAAGGCACGCUGAUAUGUAGGUGAAGCGACUUGCUCGUGGAGCUGAAAUCAGUCGAAGAUACCAGCUGGCUGCAACUGUUUAUUAAAAACACAGCACUGUGCAAACACGAAAGUGGACGUAUACGGUGUGACGCCUGCCCGGUGC